UUUUGCUUGUAGUUUUUCGAUCAGGUCUUGCAUCCUCAGGAGAGUUUUCCUGUCCUCCUCUGUCUGCAGACAGAACAGUCUUGUAAACUCGCUGAAGAUGACAGUGUUUUUUUUUCACAUGUCCUGUGAGUAAUACCUGUCCAGCUCUCCCUCUAGCUCUCGCACCUGAGGAUUCAAAUGUUCCCUCAAAUGUUCCUGUAAACGCAGUCUGCUCAGCCUCAUCCAGACGUAUCUGCAGAUCUUUGAUGGUCUGCUCCAUGUUCCUCUUCAUCCUCUCCAGAUGGCUGCUGGUGUCCUGCUCCUUCUUUAGUUCCUCUGCCAUCAUGGCUGCCUAAUGAGGG